ACACUUUGUAUUAUGAAGGAGGAGGGGAAAUCCCCCUCUCUCUCUUAGAGAGUUACAAUCUGUCACAAACAGCUUAUUUAUAAGCUUUACAAGUUUUAAAACCAGAAACCUAAAUCUAAUGGUUCCUAAUGACUCUUGAAGGAUGGAUGGCUGAGAUGAGGAGUUGGAUCAGUCCCAAUCUGCGUGAUGCAUCUUGAUUGGUGGAGAGAGAGCUGGCGCCUGAUUGGAUGAGGAGGCUUGGCUCUGAUUGGUGCUUCUAAGGCUCCUCUGAAUCUUUCCUUGUAUCUGUCCAGAUACAUAGUCAAGGCUGGUCUUUCCUUUACAGCAACAGCCAGCCUGUCUUGGACCAAAGUAGCCAAUCAUCACCAAGAGAGCUCCCAUUGGUCGCUUGCUUCCAUGUUAUCCACAAGGCAUCUUCUCUUGAUGCUCUUUUGAUUCCACACGACCAGAUCAUGCUUCUCAGCCCUAAGUAUGCACAAAGCCUCCAGGAGACGUUCUGAUCACGCCCUAACUUUGCACAACUUGGCCCGGACUUUGCACAAUCCCAAAACACCUCAAAUGGUCGAGUUGUGCACUCUCGGGUUGUCCCGGUCCGUACAGGUCCGUACAGGUCCGUACCAAUCCGUACGGCCUCGCCCUAACCUUGCACACUCGCCCAUUUGCUCCCAAACACACUUCUAAGUCCCUCCUGGACUUGGCCCUAUCUUUGCACAGCAUAUGAGCACUUCUAGACACCUUUAGACACUCCCAAAGCCUUGACAUUCAAUCUCCGGAUGUCUUGCCCUAUUCUUGCUCAAGACUCAAUCUCAACUCAACACUUCACCACUCCAUUUCUUUUCUUCAAGUUAACACUCCCCCUCAAGCUUGACUAUAGAAGAUCCUUAGUCAAGCUUGGAACCUUGAAGAACUCCCUCAUUAAAAACCUCACCAAGGAAAACCCUUUGGGACAAAACCUUGAUGAGGGAAAAAGAGUAGAGCCUCCAAGGCCUAGGGAUUGGCCAGUGAGUCUUUGUGCCUUACCAACAAUGUAAGGGACACAAAGACUCUGGAUCAUGGCCUCACACCUUCUUCUCAUCACUAACACCUCUCGGACCUCUUCUUGGAACCAGCUUGUGUCUUCCCUUCUUUCAUGGCUUCUCACCAUCUCCAUUAGGUCAGAUCACACGCCUAGCUUCUUCAUUGAGUAUCCAACAAGGUACCUGAUACAACAUCCCACAAGUGUAUCAGUUCUCAAGAGAUAAACCUAUCAUGUAUAUAUUUAAAGAGUUAAGAUCAGGUUUACUCCCUUGUUUAGAUGGUGAGGAGUGGCUGCUCUGAACCGCCACUUGAAUCCUCACUUGCUGAGCUUAACAGCUCCUCCUCUUAUCACAUAAGCUCACUAACACUCCCCCUCAAGCUUGAGACCGAGUAAAGGUCCAAGCUUGAAGGUGAGCGCAUACUAAGCUCCAUGAUCAACCUUGUGGGAACACCUCCAUCUUCUUCAGACUUGAUGCUUACUGCCCCACUUAACCACCAUUGCACUGAGGAGAUACCUCAGCUUACUCUCCAAUCACUUCUCACCAGAAGCUCAUUGAGUAGCUUUCUUCUUCCCUCACUCUCGGCUGUAUCUACACAUGAUCAGCUUGCAAUGGCCUUGAGGAACCAGGUCAUUGAGCUUAGAGGAUCUUCUGGUAGCUCACUUGAAUCCCCACCUCAAGCUUGACUUAGUAUAGGUGCAAGCUUGAAGUGAGCCUCAAUGAGACUUCAAACCGGGAGCGCAUCACUACCUACAGCUGCGCUUAAGCCAACCGAUCUGCCAUUGCCUUCAGCUCCAAUGCCUUCAGGUCAUCAGUCUCCCCAAGACUUAGGUGAUGACCUUUACUUGUGUAUCUACAUGAACCAGGAGCGCAUCACUAUCACCAGCUGCGCUAUCUCAACCGGCCAUAUACACAAGCACCAACUCUCCAUUGCUUCACAAUGGAUCAAGUCUUCCUCUCUGUCACGGAUUGAUGAUGAACUAGGGCCACUUCUUGAGAACCUGAAACAUCAUUCAAACUCCAGACAAGAUAAGACACAAGCAUUGGGACCAAAGCUUGAUUGAUCAUCAAGUUUGAUCUCCAAUGUCACAGGCUAUGCAAUAGACAGAAACAAUUCAUCACAAAGUUCUUAUCUAUGCAAGCUUAACCAUUCUCUAAACACUAAGCAUGAUCUGAUCAGGAUUCAAUGCAAAGAAUUUAGGCAAUCAACCCUGCCUUAACCGCUACCAUAGACAUCCAUCUAUGUGCUCAACAUAAGGCAGCAACAAGAUGACAAUAUGCAGUGACCUUAAUCAGUUUCUAGUUUAUGUAUGCAACAGGAUCAGACAGUACAUUCUAUCAUCCUAACACACAUUUACUUUUAACUGAGGCAAAGCAAUAUUAAUCAUCCACAACAUCAGACAAUGCAAUACCUUUAAAAUUGAUUCAGUUUAAGAGAGCUAAUAGGAUCAAGACUUUAUCUAGCAUCCUAACACAACUCAUAACAGAUUCAAGGCAAGCAUUUUAUCUCUCAACAUCAAACAAGACUCUGUAAGCAUCCUGGGACAGAUUCUAAAUCAUUUUAAUUCAUUUAGCAAUCUUUAACACAUCCUCAGGUUUUCAAUCAAUACACAACCUCACAAUCAGUUCAUAUGCUCAAGCUUUUAACUAAAGGGAAAGAGAUCCAGCUUAC
rnacentral:lncRNA from 1 species